rnacentral:rRNA from 1 species
UACGGGGGGAGCAAGCGUUGUUCGGAAUUACUGGGCGUAAAGCGCGCGCAGGCGGCUAUCCAAGUCAGUGGUGAAAGCCCGGAGCUCAACUCCGGAACUGCCAUUGAAACUGUUUAGCUUGAGGACGAGAGAGGUGAGUGGAAUUCCCAGUGUAGAGGUGAAAUUCGUAGAUAUUGGGAAGAACACCGGUGGCGAAGGCGGCUCACUGGCUCGUAUCUGACGCUCAGGCGCGAUAGCGUGGGGGAUCAAACAGG